GGGUCGUUAGCCCAGUUGGUAGAGCAGUUGACUUUUAAUCAAUUGGUCGCAGGUUCGAAUCCUGCACGACCCACCA
rnacentral:tRNA from 2 species